rnacentral:rRNA from 1 species
AUUGAACGCUGGCGGCAGGCCUAACACAUGCAAGUCGAACGGUAACAGGAAGACGCUUGCUUCUUUGCUGACGAGUGGCGGACGGGUGAGUAAUGUCUGGGAAACUGCCUGAUGGAGGGGGAUAACUACUGGAAACGGUAGCUAAUACCGCAUAACGUCGCAAGCCCAAAGAGGGGGACCUUCGGGCCUCUUGCCAUCGGAUGUGCCCAGAUGGGAUUAGCUAGUAGGUGGGGUAACGGCUCACCUAGGCGACGAUCCCUAGCUGGUCUGAGAGGAUGACCAGCCACACGGGAGCGGAGACGCGGUCCAGAGUCCUGCGGGAGGCAGCAGUGGGGAAUAGGGGACAAUGGGCGCAAGCCUGAUGCAGCCAGGCCGCGUGUAUGAAGAAGGCCUUCGGGUUGUAAAGUACUUUCAGCGGGGAGGAAGGGAGUAAAGUUAAUACCUUGGCUCAUUGACGUUACCCGCAGAAGAAGCACCGGCUAACUCCGUG